rnacentral:rRNA from 1 species
AGAUUAAGCCAUGCAUGUCUAAGUAUAAAUAAAUUUAUAUUGUGAAACUGCGAAUGGCUCAUUAAAUCAGUUAUGAUCUACGUGACAUAUUCUUUACUACUUGGAUAACCGUGGUAAUUCUAGAGCUAAUACAUGCAAAAAACCCAAACUUACGAAUGGGUGCACUUAUUAGAUAAAGCCAACGCUGGGUAAAACCAGUUUCCCUUGGUGAUUCAUAAUAAUUAAGCGGAUCGCAU